GACAGAGAGAGGGACACAGAAUCCUAAGCAGGCUCCAGGCUCUGAGCUGUCAGUACAGAGUCCGACUCGGGGCUCGAACUCAAGGGCCAUGAGAUCACGACCUGAGCCAAAGUCGGACGUUUUACCGACUGGGCCACACAGGAGCCCUUUAGAUGUACAUUUUCAGAUAGAGGGGUUUUCUCCAAAGCAUGAUAAGGAAUGAGGGCAAAGCCUUAAGAUUUAGAUUUUAUUGAGACUAAAUUAAGGUAGGAUCUUUUCUCAGAAAAGGGGUAGCUUGUUAAUCAUUUAUGUAAAUGUAGUAUGAGCAAAUAAACAUCUGAAGUUCAGGAAGUUUUGAUCAAGAAAUAAAAAGAGUAGCAACCCUUACCUUCCAGUAGAAGGCUCCAAAAGCAAAUCCGAUUACAAGAGAAAAGCACGCUGGUAAUGCCAUGACUGCCCAUUGUAUGCUGGAGUCUUCUAUGGGAUUUGUGGCCUUCCCUGUAAGGAAAACAGUACAGUGGUGAACAUGGCAUAUCCAUGCUAGAGGUUUGCUCUCAUGCUGUGUGUGGUUGGCCCCACCUGUUGCCAUAACGUACUCUUGACCUAUCUCUGUUUGGAAUAUUUGGAAAACUGGUUUUUCUGCUGAGCGUUGUUUUGGGACAGCAAUACAAGUCCGUGUCGUCUCCAAAAUACGUACGAGGAAAAAGAAAAGAAAACCCACAGAAGGUUAUCUGACUUGGUUAAUGUUGACACAUAUGGACCACAGACGACAUUUUCGGAAAAAUUAUUUAUACUAUCAAGGAAAUCUAAAACCUUUUCACUUUUUCACUCGUGACAUCUUGCCAAGAAAUUUUAGAGGACGUGUUGCAUUCUGGAUCAAGGUCGGUAUGCAUUAUGCUGUUUGGCCUGCUGCAUAUAUUAAGUGAUUAAAUAUACUUUGUGGUUAGGGUCCUUUUAGGUACCUCACCCUCAGAGUCAUGGCAUUGCCUCACCACAUCUCCGGUAUCCAUUUACUGCACGCCAGAGAAUGCCCAACACGGUGCUAAGGACUAAAGGUUUAAUUUUUCAGACUUACAUUGGAAAGCCCCAGAGUACCAAACACUAAGAAUGGUUGAAAGAACCAGUGUCCUCUCAUUGCUUACUCUAAAUAAAGUAACAGUGUGAGAGAGAAAAUGUGUGAGAUUAAAUUGGAUCUCCUCAGCUUUGAUCCUACUUGGCAGAAUGAUCGAUGAAUUAAACAAAACACAUCUCCCACAAGGGUCUCUUCUCCUGUAUCUCCUUACAAGGAACAGCUUAGCUGUUAGGACACACAUGCCAACUGGUAAGAGUCAAACCUGAAAAGGUUUUAUGCAUUUUCAGCAAUUAUAAGAACAAAAUGUAAACUAAUCCAAGGUAAAGUGACCAUUUGGGGCUAUAAUAUUGCACAAGAUCUGGGUUACUGUGUCAGCCUAAGGUCACCUAUUUAACAUAUUAAGUACCUAAAGUAUAUAAUGUAAGAGAACCAAACCACUGUUACAUAUAUAAACAUUUAUAAGGAGAAAAUGAACUUACAGAUUUAACCUGAGAGGCAAGAAACAAAUGCUAUCUACUGCAGGGAGAACAGGAAUUGCCCAUUUCCCCACCAUUUGUAAACUGGGAGCAGGAAGUUCAAUUCUAGGAUUCCUGAUUCCAAAGGCUCUAAUAGGAAGUUUGUGUGUGUGUGUGUGUGUGUGUGUGUGUGUGUGUGUGUGUGUUAAGGGGAGGGUUAGUGAGUCAUGGGUACCCCUUACACAUAAGGAACAGGGAGACUAUCUGGAUAGGGAAGUGGGGUCAUCCAUCCUGAAUCACUUCCUUAAGACUCAACUACUGUAUCUUCUGGCCCACCCCCCAUCCUACAGCCCCAUGGGAAAGAAGUUUCAGGAGUUUUAAAGUGGAGUUCAACAUGGAUUCUUUCAGCAAAAAUUAAGUUUGAAUUCAUUACUGUUAGUGAGAACCAAAGAACUCUAAACAAAUGAAGAUGGACCUUUCAAGAUUUGGAAAUCAAGACAUUUUUUUGCCACAGUUAAAUGCUAACUGACGGAGAACUUGAGGCUCAAAGAGGUCACACAGCUACGAUGUGAGGAGUGUGGACGAGAACUAGAACUCAGAUCUUGGACAGCAGUGCCUCCCUUUCCUCUUUGUUCUACUACACAUUUCAUGUACUAUCUGCACAUUUGUCCUGGGUACGUUCUUCCUCUCAAAUUUCUCCCCAUGCUUCCAUGAUUUCUUUUGUUUUUUGGAUCUUCAUCCCCAUGUUUGAAAGGCAAAAUUACCCAGUCAUUUUAUGUAAGCCCUGCUGGCAAAGAAACAGUGGACACUUCCACAUGUGUAAAAACUGGAAUUAGAUUAAGCAACAACAUUCUAUUAUGUUAUGAGCCAACCUUGUAAAUGAAAGCCAUUCCAGAUGGAAGAACUGGACAAGAAGUGGCAGGUGUUCUGAACACAACCUGCUAGCCCCUUCUUCAGGAUAAUUUACAUUAUCUAUUUCUAACCAUCUUUAUAAAAUUGACAGAAUUCGUAUUCAGCAAAUUUAGGACCUGAGUACAUAUAUACAUACUCCUAACAAGCAGGAAGAAAUAUAAGGGAUAUAUGGUCAAUUAAUUUUAUUAUUAAUUUAUAUAUAUAAAUUGGUUCAAAGAAGUCAAAGAAACCUUACAAGAAGUUCUCUGACCAACACACUGAAAUCUCUAUACUUUACUACUUGGGGGGAAGGGGUAUAUAAUAACAAAUUCUGCAUUAAACUGAUUUGCUGAUAUUUAAUUUCUGAUAGGAUGAAAAGUAAUAGUAUUUCUAAAAAUGCUCCAUAAUCCAUAACAAAUUUUCAUGUACAGUCUGCCACAACUUCAUGAGACAUAUAUUAUUAUGUCUAUUUUAUAGAUGAAGACAUGGAGGCCCAGAGGGGUUAACUGGUGUCUCCAGGUAGCAGAGCUCAAGAGUUCCAGAUGCAGGAAGGACACAAACCUGGCCCCACGUGCUGGGCUCAGUAAGUCAUCUAUAGGGCAGUCCCCCUUUAUUAUUUUCUCAGCUUACAUUGGUUCCUUUCCAAUUAUAUUUGGAAGAGAAUUUAGGGAGAACUUAGGGAGUCAAGUUGUAGAUUCUUAUGGUUGCUUCAUGAGUUACUGUAUUACGUUCCAAGCACACAAGAGUGUGUUAAAGAGCACUCAGCACAGAUAACCUUGUGAUAAAUUCAGCUUGAUAUACAUGGAUCAUUAUAGAAAGUGUGACAGUAUAGAGGGAGCCUUGGGCCCGGAGUUUAGAUGUUCCUUUGAGUUAGUCUGAUGUAGGACUCACUGCACAGGUGCUGGGAAUACACUGUUCGGGUUGGAUCCAGGCCCUCAGCCUGGUAACUCAGAGAUCUUGGGCAAGUUCCUUAAUCUACUUUAGCCUCAAUUUUCUCCUACCUAGAGGAGAGGUCGUAUGCAAAGACAAAGAAAUGGGAAAGCACAAGGUGUGUUUGGGAAAUUGUGGACAGAUAAAUCAAGCUCCAGCAGGUAAGAGGUAGGAAAUAUGCCAGAAAAGCUACAUGAGAGAAGGACUUGAGUGUUGGGUGAAGGCAGCCCACUAGGAGACAGUGAGGUUCGGUAAGACACAUUUUACCAGAACCCUACAGCAAGUCACUUCUUCCUUAGACACAUCGUUUCUUCUCUAUGGAACCUCUAUUUGUCUCUAAAAUAAAGGGAACAAACUAGUUACUGAAAAUUGAGUGUGAUCUAACUUUUUCACAGAAGAAGUGGUGCUGCAUUAAAUGUCUAAGCAGGGAGGGAUGGGAUAGUAAAUUCAGAAAGAUUGGUCUGCAAGGAUGGAUUACAGCAGGGACAGAAGAGAGACCAGGAACAGUUUAGAAGACCACUAGGAAAGUGCUCAACAUGUAUUAAAUAUUCCUGUAGAGACUGGAAGCUGAAAACAAAACAAAACAAAAACAAAAACCCAGGAACGAGGCUUAGAAUCUAGGGAAGUAGCCCGUUGGUAGGGUCAAACAGAUAAGUAAUCAAAACUGUAGAUUCUGAAAACAAAUCUAGUUGCUAAAAUAAGUUCAGGGCAAAAUAUAAAAUAAUGAAAUGGAACUUAACUGAUUAAAAAUUUUACUGAACGCCAAAUUAUCCCAGUGAGCUUUGUGAUUUGGAGGAUGAGGAUGUCAGUACUAUGCCAGAUUGUAAAAUGCAUAAAACAGCAACACAAGUCACUUUAUGAUGGGCCCACUCUACUAGAUGGGCCCCUUUGGCUGUAUUUUUUGGAUGUCUUGAGGACUGACCACACUCAGUGACACUGGGAAGAACAAAGAAAAAAAUGCAUAAGGGGCAGCAUGCAGAAAUCCUGAAAACUCAGCCAAGAGAAAGUUUUUUUUUUAUGCCAAAUUGUCACUGGCUGCAUAGCAGGCCCUAAAGGUGUUUGGACUCAGGAGAAAAAGAACUCAAGGUUAGAACAUUUAAUGCCCUCUCUAGAUCGCUAAUCUAAAAUCUUUGGAACUCAUAAUUCAAAUGUCGUUGAGGUCUCUAAAUCUUAUGAAAUAGUGGCUUCUUAAAUGUCUUUGCUGAGACACAUACUUGUCUCCAUUGUUCUCCCCAAGUUCAAGGCAACAAUCAAAAUACAGGAGUGGUAACUCACGGUUCCCUUGACACUGUACAUAAAAUGUUGCACAUAACAAAGCCUCUGGGAAAAGAGUCCACAGUUUCCAGAGUUUCAGACCCAGAGAAGUUAAAGAGUUGCUGCUGUAGAGGGGGGAAAAAAAUCUAUGCUCAUAUUUAAAUAUCACAGCCUACUCAUUCAUGUACAGCUUAGUGUAAUGCUGGUUUUCAGAAAUAACACAGGAGGAAGCUUUUUGCUUUUUAAAUUUUCCCUUGUAAGUCAUCUCCUGUUAAUACUAACAAUCUAAUUCACCAGGACAACUGUCUUCAGUUUUCACAGGUAUUUGUUUUUUGAUAAUAACUCAAUUAGCAACUAAAACAAAGUUAAGAUGGCAAUUUUCUGAUGCCUGAAGAUGACUUUUCUGAGUCAUCGUUUCUCAGUGAAGAAUACCUAAAAGUUAGAAGACUCUUCUCCCUCCAAAAACAAAAACGAGAGAGAAAGAGAGAGAGAUUAAAAGAACAUCUAGAUUAUAUUCACUCCCUCAUCAUGUGACUACUACUUAGGAAGUAAAAUUCAAGAGGUUACAAUGAUAGUUCUUAAAACUGCAGUUGACAUUUACAUAUUUUUUUAAAAUUUAUUUUUAUUUUUAAUAUGAAAUUUAUUGUCAAAUUGGUUUCCAUACAACACCCAGUGCUCAUCCCAAC